rnacentral:rRNA from 1 species
UACAGAGGUGGCAAGCGUUGUUCGGAAUUACUGGGCGUAAAGGGCGCGUAGGCGGUUCGUUAAGUCCUGUGUGAAAUCCCCCGGCUCAACUGGGGAACUGCACAGGAAACUAGCGGGCUUGAGUUCGGGAGAGGGAAGCGGAAUUCCGGGUGUAGCGGUGAAAUGCGUAGAUAUCCGGAGGAACACCGGUGGCGAAGGCGGCUAUCUGGACCAACAUCGACGCUGAGGCACGAAAGCGUGGGGAUCAAACAGG